rnacentral:rRNA from 1 species
UACGUAGGGGGCUAGCGUUGUCCGGAAUCAUUGGGCGUAAAGAGCGUGUAGGCGGCCCGGUAAGUCCGCUGUGAAAGUCGGGGGCUCAACCCUCGAAUGCCGGUGGAUACUGUCGGGCUAGAGUGCGGAAGAGGCGAGUGGAAUUCCCGGUGUAGCGGUGAAAUGCGCAGAUAUCGGGAGGAACACCAAUGGCGAAGGCAGCUCGCUGGGACGGUACUGACGCUGAGACGCGAAAGCGUGGGGAGCAAACAGGAUUAGAAACCCGCGUAGUCC